UCAUUAGUUUUUUAAUUGAAGGCUUGUAUGAAGGGUUGGACAAAGAAAGAUCUGUCUUUAUUUUUAUUUUUGAAUUUUACUUUUAAGUGAAAAGGCUUAAUUAUAUUUAAGGGACGAUAAGACCCUAUAAAUCUUUAAUAUUAAUUUGUUUUAUAUAAAUUAAUAAAGUUAAUAAAUAUAUUAUUAAGAUAAAAUAUAUUUUAUUGGGGUGAUGAGAAUAUAAAAUUAACUGUUCUUAAAUGUAAACAAAGUUAUUUGUUAAAAUUUAUUGAUCCUAUAUAAAGAUAAAAAGUUUAAGUUACUUUAGGGAUAACAGCGUUAUUUUUUUUGAGAGUUCUUAUCGAAAAAAAAGUUUGCGACCUCGAUGUUGAAUUAAAAUUUCUUUAUGGUUGUAGUUGCUAUAAAUAGAGAGUCUGUUCGACUUUUAAAGUUUU
rnacentral:rRNA from 1 species